CAUGCAAGUCGAACGGAAAGGCCCUUCGGGGUACUCGAGUGGCGAACGGGUGAGUAACACGUGGGUGAUCUGCCCUGCACUUUGGGAUAAGCCUGGGAAACUGGGUCUAAUACCGGAUAGGACUACGCGAUGCACGUCGUGUGGUGGAAAGCUUUUGCGGUGUGGGAUGGGCCCGCGGCCUAUCAGCUUGUUGGUGAGGUUAUGGCUUACCAAGGCGACGACGGGUAGCCGGCCUGAGAGGGUGACCGGCCACACUGGGACUGAGAUACGGCCCAGACUCCUACGGGAGGCAGCAGUGGGGAAUAUUGCACAAUGGGCGCAAGCCUGAUGCAGCGACGCCGCGUGAGGGAUGACGGCCUUCGGGUUGUAAACCUCUUUCAGCAGGGACGAAGCGCAAGUGACGGUACCUGUAGAAGAAGGACCGGCCAACUACGUGCCAGCAGCCGCGGUAAUACGUAGGGUCCGAGCGUUGUCCGGAAUUACUGGGCGUAAAGAGCUCGUAGGUGGUUUGUCGCGUUGUUCGUGAAAACUCACA
rnacentral:rRNA from 1 species